rnacentral:lncRNA from 1 species
GUGGGAGUGAGUUGAACGUAGGAGACUCAUUUUUACUAUCACAGGGUGGAAAAAGAUUAUGACUUGGAGCUUGUUUGGGGACCCAGUUUUGUGGGUUCUGAGUGGCAAAGCUGAAUCUUCCCAGAAGAGGUAAAAGGGCACCACCAAGGCAGAACAGGCAGCUCAAAUGUGGUCCAAUAAGAGAAAUGGAGCGACUGAGUAAUUGGCUCAAGAUGGCACUUGUUAAAUGGAAGAGUGAUGGCUGACACUCUGAAUUCACUGUCUUAGCCUCUAUGUUUUAAGAAACUGUGAAUGUUUGUGUGUAUGUAGGUGUGCUUGUGUGUGUGCCUGGACAUUAGAACAUUAUGAAUUUUAGGGCAUAAUGGGGAAAAUGCAUAAUUGGGAAAAUGAAAUAUAUAUUAAGUAUAAAAUCCAACUUGAUUUGCUUUCUUUUCUCACUCACUAAAUGGAAAAGCAGCGGGGAUGGGGGAUGUAGCUCAGUGGUACAGCACUUGCUUAGCAUGUGAGAACCCUGGGUUUGAACAGUGUCUUUCUGCCAUUGAGUUUGUGAGCUUCAUUUUUCAGUACUUAAAUGUCCCAUGUAAAUUUUUCAUAAUGAAAUUAUGAAAAUAAAUAGAUAGAAGAAAUGUGAUUUCUCCUAAAGACUAUAAUAUAUAACUUAUUGAAGUGAAAAUAUUUAAGACUUUGUAGAAUAGCUCAAAUUAUU